UGUGUUGUCACAGUGCUCCACUGUGAUAUCACAGUGUUGCGCUUUGUUGUCACAGUGCUCCACUGUGCUAUCAGAGUGCUCCACUGUGCUGUCACAGUG
rnacentral:miRNA from 1 species